rnacentral:misc_RNA from 1 species
CUCCCUUCUGAAAUGAGCCCAAGAACUUCAAUUCUUUGUUUAGGGAAGAAGAGGUUUGACAAGUGAGGUUAAUGGACACAUAGUAACACAUCAUAUAUCUAGUAGAAAGAUUAAGCCAACUAAUCAAAUAAAUCUAUAAAAAUAGAACAUUGAAAUUAUUGUUCUGAAAUUAAAACAACCAUUGGCAGAAAUCAAGGACACAUUAGCUUACCCAGUGGUAAGGUUUUGAAUUAUGGUCAGAGAGCUAAAUGAGAAAAAAUAUAUAUAUCAAAUAAGGU